rnacentral:lncRNA from 1 species
AUUUUCGAGUAUUUAUCUAAAGGAAGGAACAAACGAGAAUAAGAGAAAAUUGCUUCUAAUUUGUUUUAUCCAAGUGAGAUAUAUGGCAUAAUACUCUUCCAUUUUUAUAUGAAAGGCCUUUUUUUUAUUUCUCUAUUCCACUCCAUUUAGAUCUAAGAAAGAACCCAAUACAAUGAAAUUCCACUAGUAUACAAAAAGAUAAAUAGAUACAAACAAAAGGUCUCAAACCUUGUUAUAGAAUUUGUGUUUCAAAGAAAAGAAAUAUCAUAUAUAUUCAGCGAAUGAAAUAGAGUCGGCGAAUGAAGCGGAUUCAUUAACAACUCAAUUUACAGAUCAAAAAUGAAAAAAAAAGAAAGCAUUGCCUUCUUUCCUAUACCUUAUUC